AACGAACGCCGGCGGCAUGCCUAACACAUGCAAGUCGAACGAGACCUUCGGGUCUAGUGGCGCACGGGUGCGUAACGCGUGGGAAUCUACCCUUGGGUUCGGAAUAACAGUUAGAAAUGACUGCUAAUACCGGAUGAUGACGUAAGUCCAAAGAUUUAUCGCCCAAGGAUGAGCCCGCGUAAGAUUAGCUUGUUGGUGGGGUAAUGGCCUACAAAGGCGACGAUCUUUAGCUGGUCUGAGAGGAUGAUCAGCCACAUUGGGACUGAGACACGGCCCAGACUCCUACGGGAGGCAGCAGUGGGGAAUAUUGGACAAUGGGCGAAAGCCUGAUCCAGCAAUGCCGCGUGAGUGAUGAAGGCCUUAGGGUUGUAAAGCUCUUUUACCAGGGAUGAUAAUGACAGUACCUGGAGGAUAAGCUCCGGCUAACUCCGUGCCAGCAGCCGCCGUAA
rnacentral:rRNA from 1 species